rnacentral:rRNA from 1 species
GACGAACGCUGGCGGCGUGCCUAAUACAUGCAAGUCGAGCGAGCGGAACCAACAGAUUUACUUCGGUAAUGACGUUGGGAAAGCGAGCGGCGGAUGGGUGAGUAACACGUGGGGAACCUGCCCCUAAGUCUGGGAUACCAUUUGGAAACAGGUGCUAAUACCGGAUAAUAAAGCAGAUCGCAUGUCUAGAGUUUGAAAGAUGGUUCUGCUAUCACUCUUGGAUGGACCUGCGGUGCAUUAGCUAGUUGGUAAGGUAACGGCUUACCAAGGCAAUGAUGCAUAGCCGAGUUGAGAGACUGAUCGGCCACAUUGGGACUGAGACACGGCCCAA